rnacentral:rRNA from 1 species
AGUGAACGCUGGCGGUAGGCCUAACACAUGCAAGUCGAACGGCAGCACAGUAAGAGCUUGCUCUUACGGGUGGCGAGUGGCGGACGGGUGAGGAAUACAUCGGAAUCUACUUUUUCGUGGGGGAUAACGUAGGGAAACUUACGCUAAUUCCGCAUACGACCUACGGGUGAAAGCAGGGGAUCUUCGGACCUUGCGCGAUUGAAUGAGCCGAUGUCGGAUUAGCUAGUUGGCGGGGUAAAGGCCCACCAAGGCGACGAUCCGUAGCUGGUCUGAGAGGAUGAUCAGCCACACUGGAACUGAGACACGGUCCAGACUCCUACGGGAGGCCGCAGUGGGGAAUAUUGGACAAUUGGCGCAAGCCUGAUCCAGCCAUACCGCGUGGGUGAAGAAGGCCUUCGGGUUUUAGAGCCCUUUUGUUGGGAAAGAAAAGCAGCAGGUUAAUCCCCCGCUGUUCUGACGGUACCCAAAGAAUAAGCACCGGCUAACUUCGUG